rnacentral:rRNA from 1 species
AGCAGCCGCGGUAAUUCCAGCUCCAAUAGCGUAUAUUAAAGUUGUUGCAGUUAAAAAGCUCGUAGUUGAAUUUCGGGAUCAUCAGGUUGGUCGUGCCUCUGGUAUGUACUUGCUUCGAUGGUCCCUCCUUCUUGAAGAACCGUAAUGCCAUUAAUUUAGUGUUGCGGGGAAACAGGACUGUUACUUUGAAAAAUUAGAGUGUUUAAAGCAGGCAAUCGCUUGAAUACAUUAGCAUGGAAUAAUGAAAUAGGACGUUCGAUCCUAUUUUGUUGGUUUCUAGGAUUGACGUAAUGAUUAAUAGGGAUAGUUGGGGGCAUUAGUAUUCAAUUGUCAGAGGUGAAAUUCUUGGAUUUAUUGAAGACUAACUACUGCGAAAGCAUUUGCCAAGGAUGUUUUCAUUAAUCAAGAACGAAAGUUAGGGGAUCGAAGACGAUCAGAUAUCGUCGUAGUCUUAACCAUAAACUAUGCCGACUAGGGAUCGGAUGAUGUUAAUUUUUAAUGA